rfam:Medicago truncatula strain A17 chromosome 1, whole genome shotgun sequence.
GGACUGUGAAGAUUUCUGUGAUAGGUCUCGUUCGUCGUAAUUGGUCUUUUUCGACCUUGCCGACCAUCCUGUUAUAUCACCACCCAUAUUCUGAGUCC